rnacentral:sRNA from 1 species
GCCAGGUGUGGUGGUGCACGCCUGUAAUCCCAGAGGCUUGGGAGGCUGAGGCAGAAGGAUUGCAAAUUCAAAGUGAGCCUCAGCAACUU